AUGAACGCUAGCGGCAGGCCUAAUACAUGCAAGUCGAACGGUAACAUGAGUAGCAAUACUUGAUGACGAGUGGCGCACGGGUGCGUAACGCGUAUGCAAUCUACCUUUAACCGGUGAAUAGCCCGAAGAAAUUCGGAUUAAUACACCAUAGUAUAGUUGAGUGGCAUCACUUAACUAUUAAAACUCCGGUGGUUAAAGAUGAGCAUGCGUGACAUUAGCUAGUUGGUGAGGUAAUGGCUCACCAAGGCUACGAUGUCUAGGGGAUCUGAGAGGAUUAACCCCCACACUGGUACUGAGACACGGACCAGACUCCUACGGGAGGCAGCAGUAAGGAAUAUUGGACAAUGGUCGCAAGACUGAUCCAGCCAUGCCGCGUGCAGGAUGACAGCCCUAUGGGUCGUAAACUGCUUUUGUGCGAGAAAAAACCUCUUUACGUGUAAAGAGCUGAUUGUAUCGUAAGAAUAAGGAUCGGCUAACUCCGU
rnacentral:rRNA from 1 species